UACGUAGGGGGCAAGCGUUGUCCGGAAUCAUUGGGCGUAAAGCGCGUGUAGGCGGCCCGGUAAGUCCGCUGUGAAAGUCCAGGGCUCAACCCUGGGAUGCCGGUGGAUACUGUCGGGCUCGAGUCCGGAAGAGGCGAGUGGAAUUCCUGGUGUAGCGGUGAAAUGCGCAGAUAUCAGGAGGAACACCAAUAGCGAAGGCAGCUCGCUGGGACGUGACUGACGCUGAGACGCGAAAGCGUGGGGAGCAAACAGG
rnacentral:rRNA from 1 species